ensembl:lncRNA
CACAGGGUCUGGAUGUUCCUGAUACUCAGAAACUUAAUAGGGGAGGAUACGUUUCAACAAAAAUAGUAACUUUAGCAAGAUAGUGCUUUUCCCACAGUUUCGCCUUCUGUGUCAGGGAGCUGAAACACCUAGCUCUCUGUAGACUGUAAGCACUGCUCUUUUGCAUAGCCUUCAAAGUCCUGAUCAACAACUGUGAUAAAAAUGAAACAACAAUCCAAGGUUUAAGUAACAGGCAUAUUGCAUACAGGAGUGUGAACACGCAUGGACAGACCUAAGCUGAAAGAGGAUGUAGCAUUACAGUGCACCUUAUCACAAGCCAAGCGCUGACAUCUUUGUGUGGACAUAACUCAAGCUGCAAGGAAUGAUGAGAUUAACUGCUGAAGCUCUGCAGAUGAAGGUGUCUGGGGACUCAGUUUCUGGCUGUGUUCAGAGUCAUUUCAGAUGAUGUGAAUUAAAUUCAGUGACUCCUUUGAUAAAAACCUCCUCAGAGAAAAUAUGGCCAUUUUCCAGUACAUUGUAUGUCUUCCUAAUUACUGAAGUAUUGAUUGUAUCAAGCAACCAUACUGCACCCACAGGUAGAGGCCAUGAUCCAGCAGAUAGAAUAAAGGACUGCAAGUUAACAUCAAGUUAUUUCCUGUACAUUUGGUCUUCCUUUUCUUAGGAGUCAAUAUCACAUCUGUAAAGUAGGGACACAAACAAAUUCCUUAUAAUUAUUGGACCAUAUAGGUUUGCAGAACCCUCACGAAUUAAAGUCAAAACAGGAAAAUAUUGCAAAGUGUGCUGCUAUUUUGCAUUUUGAAUCUAUGCAGAUUUGUCAUCAACUUCUGUGCUCUCACCUGUGCAGCACUUUCAAUGUCAGGGUACUAAAACUUUUCUACUUCAGAAAUCAGAGCUAGCAGCUGUAACAAAUAAUACCCUGAGUAGAAACCUGUCUUUGUAAGCAUGCAAAACCAAUGAUGGUUUUUUAUCUCCCUUCCAUAAGCACUGAAGGGAGAAGUUAUAAUGCCAUUAUAGCAAUAGCAGAGAAGUUAUAAUGCCAUUCUGCAUGCUUUCUGACAGCACUUCUGUGGCCACAAUCCCAGCCACGUGGGAUCUUACUCUGAACACUGCAAGCACUGGUCCUGCUCUUGGGUCAUUUGUGAGAUAUAUCAUCUGGAUUUCCAUUUUAGAAACAUAACCAUCAGUGCCAGGCACUUUAUGUAUACUUGUAUAUUGCUACAUAAUGCUUAUUUCACUUGAAAAUAUGCUUUGAUAUAAAAUGACUAAGUACUAUUACAAAACACAAUUUUCUCAUGCUCUCAUUGGCUAGCCAACAGUCUAUUUUCUCA